AUGACAGGCUGAGGUUCUUGCAGAAAGAAGAAGGAGUCACUGUUUCACUAAGAGAUGGAGUGAUUUGAGAAAAACAGUUUCAGCCUCUUGAGAUUGAAGGUGGAGGGAAAAUGGCUGCUCUGCGCUGGGAUCAGAAUAGAAUACAGUAACAGAGUUGGAAGGAAUCUUGGAGAUAUUCUAGAUCAGUGGUGGCUAACCCUUUGUGGUGGCUCCUGUGACAAAAAUUGUGCACUUGGUUGCAUGCUCACGCUCGCAUGCCAGCACCCAGAAGGCA
rnacentral:lncRNA from 1 species